UAAUGUAUGACCAUUCAAAAAAUAUAUGGUUUCUAUGUACUUCUACAUGAACUAAGUGCAAAAAUGACUUCUUCCGGUUCACUCAAGGUCACUUCCGGUUGACAUUUUUCAAGGUCAUAUGUCACCCAACAUUUUGCAAAAGAUCUUAUGGCUUUAUCAUGUACCAAUAUGAAGUAAUCAAUUUACCUUAAAAUAAAACGUUUCAGGGGCAAUAACUCCAGUAAGAUGUCGCUGGAUUGUCUCAGACCAAAUGUAUCAUAUCUUCAUCACAAUAUAACAAACAUUUUGCACUUGUUCUUUAAUAUAUAACAUUAAAAAUAUUGGAGAAAAUGCAAAAACAAGCAAAGGACAAAAUUCAGAACAUGACCUUGACCUUUGACCUUGACCUCAUUUUCGAAGUUAGGAUCCAAGGACCUCAAAUAAAAAGACUAUAGGUUUAUACGGCUUACAGUUUAUGAGUAACAAAAACAUAACGACAAAUUUAUUUCAUAAAGGUAGAUAACUCCUAUAAAAUUUCAUUGAAUCGCUUCGAUCCAAAUUAGCCAAAAAUUCCUGAGGAUGUAACGAACAAUUAAGAAAAAGAAUUUUGUCGAUAUCUUUUUUUGUUACGAAGGAGAUGCACACACUUGAUAAACAGUGAAUAGGGAGAUAACUCUUACAAAGAUAAUUGUUCAGCUUAGCAGGGUGAAAUUUAAAAGCGCAAAAACUAUACGAUACAAUAUGAGAAAUAUCUAAGCGACAUAUUGUGAAACAAAUAUUUAUCGCAAGAACAAAAUUUGGCAGAAGAAAAAAAAAAAUUAUAA